rnacentral:rRNA from 1 species
AACGAACGCUGGCGGCAGGCCUAACACAUGCAAGUCGAGCGCACCUUCGGGUGAGCGGCGGACGGGUUAGUAACGCGUGGGAACGUGCCCAGCUCUAGGGAAUAGCCUCGGGAAACUGAGAGUAAUACCCUAUACGCCCUUCGGGGGAAAGAAUUUCGGAGUUGGAUCGGCCCGCGUCUGAUUAGGUAGUUGGUGGGGUAACGGCCUACCAAGCCUACGAUCAGUAGCUGGUUUGAGAGGAUGAUCAGCAACACUGGGACUGAGACACGGCCCAGACUCCUACGGGAGGCAGCAGUGGGGAAUCUUAGACAAUGGGCGCAAGCCUGAUCUAGCCAUGCCGCGUGAGUGACGAAGGCCCUAGGGUCGUAAAGCUCUUUCACCAGGGAAGAUAAUGACGGUACCUGGAGAAGAAACCCCGGCUAACUCCGUGCCAGCCGCCGCGGUAACAC